rnacentral:rRNA from 1 species
CCGCCAGAAAAUUACGAGCGAAAAGCUUAAAACUCAAAGGACUUGGCGGUGCCCAUACCGACUUAGAGGAGCCUGUCCUGUAAUCGAUACUCCACGAUAAACCUCACCACUCAUUGCCAAAACAGCCUAUAUACCGCCGUCGCCAACUUACCUCAUGAGAGAUUAACAGUAAGUAUAAUAGUUUUUCAACUAAANCGUCAGGUCAAGGUGUAGCUUAUAGAGUGGAAGAGNUGGGCUACAUUUUUU